rnacentral:RNase_P_RNA from 1 species
CAAGUUGGCUAGGCAGUCGCCGCCUGAUAUUUAUUAUCGGGGGGAGGAAAGUCCGGGCUUCGCAGGGUAAAGUGCCAGGUAACGCCUGGGGGGCGUGAGCCUACGGAAAGUGCAGCAGAAAAUAAACCGCCUAAGCAGCUUGCUGCCGGUAAGGUUGAAAUGGUGCGGUAAGAGCGCACCGCGCGACUGGUAACAGUUCGUGGCAAGGUAAACCCCACUUGAAGCAAGACCAAAUAGGAACUCUUUGGCGUGACCCGCGCUGAGUUCGGGUAGGUUGCUAAAGACGUGCAGUGAUGUACGUAUUAGAUGAAUGACUGUUCUCGACAGAACCCGGCUUAUCGGCCAACUUGCUUU